UAAGGAAUAUUGCUCAAUGGGAGAAAUCCUGAAGCAGCAACGCCGCGUGGAGGAUGAAGGGUCUAUGACUUGUAAACUCCUGUAAAGAAGGAAAAAAUUCCCAUUUGAUGGGAGAUGAUGGUACUUCUGGAGUAAGCCCCGGCUAACUACGUGCCAGCAGCCGCGGUAAUACGUAGGGGGCAAGCGUUGUCCGGAUUUAUUGGGUGUAAAGGGUGCUCAGGCGGAUUUGUAAGUCAGAGGUGAAAUCUUACAGCUUAACUGUGAAACUGCCUUUGAUACUGCAAGCCUAGAGUAUGGAAGAGAGUGAUGGAAUAUCUGGUGUAGCAGUGAAAUGCGUAGAUAUCAGAUAGAACACCAAUGGCGAAGGCAGUCACUUGGUCCAUUACUGACGCUAAAGCACGAAAGCGUGGGUAGCAAACA
rnacentral:rRNA from 1 species